AUGGCUUCAACCUUGACUUCGGACGCUGCUGCGGCAGGUUCACAGGAGGUCGAUGAUGUGGAAACAAUGAUGAAAGAACUGGGUCUCCGGGAGGAGGACCUGGACGAUGUGAACAUGAGGGCAGCAUGGGAUCUGGCCCAAGAGGUAAAGUUCAAGCCACUGGAAGAAAAUCUUUACACCAUCCAAUUCUCCUGCCUAGGGGAUUGGGAGAGAGUUACUCAGGAAGGGCCAUGGCACUUUAGGGGCGACGCUGUCAUCCUCAAGUCUUAUGAUGGAUUAGCAAAACCGUCGAUAGCCCUCCUCGACACCAUUGAGAUAUGGGUGCAAGUUCAUGAUGUGCCGCCUCUGUACGCCCAUCUUGUGCCUUCCCUUGCGGCGAAAGUGGGAGAAGUGCUUUAUGCUGAAGCCCAGUCACCAGACUUUACGGGGAAUUUUCAUCGUGUUUGGAUCAGGAUCAAUGUUACGAAGCCUUUGAAGAAUGCAGAUUACAUGAUCACAGAGGGGAAACGCCAGAUAUACAGGGUCAAAUACGAAAAGCUUCCUGACUGGUGUGCGGUGUGCGGCAUGCUAGGGCAUCUUUUUAAGGAGCAUGACACCGUAAUCCAUCCACCAUCAGCACUGAUCUUCAAGAAUCUGCGAGCAUCAUGGGUCAUGCGCACCGGCCAAGGGCCAGGUGGUGGAUGGGACUGA
rnacentral:rRNA from 1 species